GAAAGACGAUUCCGCCAGCCAGUUUCGCUUCGACCGCUGUGUCGUGUGGAUGAAAAAUUUAUUCGUGUUCAAUUUCGAAUAUAAUUUAGUUGCAUAUAUAUUUCAUCAAUUUAUAUGCGUUUUAUUCAUAAUAUUUAUAUUAUGUAUAUUUAUUUGCAAAUAUUUUAAUUAUAUUUAUUCGCGAGUGUAACAAUUUUGUGUUUUAUUUGGUAGAGCGUUGGUAUAAUUCAUCUCUAUCAUGGAUGAAGCUGUUACUACAAACAAACAAGAUAAGUAGCUGAUUAUUGAGACUAUUUUAUGCAAAAAAAAAAAAAUUUCAAUAUAGAUGCCAUGAUGAUAUUCUAUAUUUUAUAAAGAAGAGAAACCAAUGGAAUCAAUUGGAAUUAAAUAAAAAAGAGAGAGAUUUAAGAUGGUCGCCAUUAGUCCGAGUUUUCCACAGGAGCGAAGCAGCUACGUUUCUUCGCCGGGAUAAUUAUUGAAUGUAGCAUGGAGAAGAAGACCUCGGAGAAGGGAGAUCUCAUAACUUAUAUCUUAAUGAGCUUACGUUGCUUGCGAUGUUUUAAUGAAUACUAAUGAACUCGAAAAUUUUUCUCAUCCCAAAGGGAAAAGUGCGGAUCCGUCCAGUUUUUUAACCGAGAAUAAUUGGUCCUAUUCUUGGGCCGAAAGAUUUAUAAAUGGAAGAAAGAAGAGGGGCGAAACAAGCAUUUUUUUUCAAUUUAUAAUCAUUCUUUCGUUACACGAUAUCGCCGAUGUUUACGAUGUCCUUCCUUUUUCCCAUCUCUCUCUCUCUUUUGUUGAUCGAGAGAGAAAAUUACGAAAUGAAAUAAGUGCAAGAUUUUAAAUAAGAUUAAAAAAUUUUAAUCAACAUAAUUUAUCGAUUCACGAUUAAACUUUGUAUUUGAGUUCAGCAAGAAUUAACAUUUCGUCGCGAAUAUAAUAUAAUAGCUAGAAAAGGAAUUAUGUGAAAGAACGAUGAAAAAUAGAAGUCAAAAAAAAAAAAAGAAGAAGGAAAAGAAAAUAUAACCAACUAAUUAAAUAUCUAGAAUAAUAGAUAACUACAAAACUAGGACAAAAAAUUCCACAAUGAGAGGAAAAAAAAAAAAAAAAAAGAAAAGUGAAAGGAUCGACGAUUAAAUAUUUUCGUUUACUGGAAAAAGCGUAUUUGAAUGUCGGUGAUAAUUUAGAUAUUUAUCACAUUAAAAUUUCGAAUCCUCGCCGACAUCAUUUUUCUUCCCGUCGUUUUCAUUUCUUGCCAAAUAUACCGCGACAAUCUAGUUUUUUUUCUUCUUUCUUCUUUUUCGUUUAUUUUUUUUUUUUUUUUUUUUAAGCAACGUGUCACGCGUCAAUCGAGCGAAUGGAACGAUCGAACGAUUUAUAUAUCGAUGUCCGAUUUUUCUAGGAACGCUAUUUCUGUUUUUUCCAUCCAACAUCCUGUAUUCUUUGUAUUCUCAAUUAGCGCGACGCUUAACGAGCCUCGGCUCGUUAGCCGGCCGAUUCGUUGAUAAAAUACACGUUACAAUUCAACCAGCUA